rnacentral:lncRNA from 1 species
GAGAGGGGCCAGGUAUCAAACCUGUGUUCUUAUGGAUACUAGUUGGGUUUGUUUCCACUGUACCACAAUGGGAACUCCAGAAUUUUCAGUUUCUUAAUCUCAAGAGAAAAGUUAUAAAAUUCUAGAGCUUGUCGUAAAUAUUAAAUCAGAACACAUAUGUUACUCUCUCAUGGUGCUGAGUUAAUCAAAAUUAAUAGCUGUUUCUUCUAACCUGUAGGCCAGUGUACACCUCCAACUGCUAUCUUAUAACACACACACACAUACUCAGGCACAUGCAUACACACACACACACACACACACAGACAACUCUAGAAUUGGGUAUCCCUGAGUAAUCAGGCAUGCUUCUCUGUCUCCCUUUGCCCUCAUUCUGUUGACAGUGAUUUUUAUACAGCUGCUCUAUGCCAGUCACGUGGGUGCCAAGAACAUAAAGAUGGAGAAAAGAACCACGACACCAAGGGACAGAGAAGAGAAAAAAAUGUGAUCAAGGCCCAAGAUAUUGUUUAUUCCAUGGACAUAUAACAUGAGUGAAAAAUGUCUUUGUCACUGCAAAUUAAGAUGGCAG